rnacentral:lncRNA from 1 species
ACCAAGCUUCGAGCUUCCCUGGAUAAGGAGAAGGUGGGAGGCAGAAAGGUGAUGAGGAGGCGGCCACAACUAGAGAGUUAGGAGGUGGGGACGAUGCGAGGAUGAAGUGCAGAGGGGCUGAUGAUAUAAAAAGACGGCCAAGAGAAUGUAAUGAUGCAAGGAGAGAGAUAGAACAGGACGACAUGAAGAGGAAACCAGGAGCUCAAGAAGGAGGUAAGCAGUUGAGAAGGUAGUGACUGGCGAGAAUGCAGCAGCAGGAACGACGCGAGAAAACAGCGGGGAGGAUGGGACUAAUUCUGGCAUCGGCC